rnacentral:rRNA from 1 species
UACGUAGGGGGCAAGCGUUGUCCGGAAUCAUUGGGCGUAAAGAGCGCGUAGGCGGUCCGGUAAGUCCGCUCUGAAAGCCCGGGGCUCAACCCCGGGAGGCGGGCGGAUACUGUCGGGCUAGAGUCCGGAAGAGGCGAGUGGAAUUCCUGGUGUAGCGGUGAAAUGCGCAGAUAUCAGGAGGAACACCGAUGGCGAAGGCAGCUCGCUGGGACGGUACUGACGCUGAGGCGCGAAAGCGUGGGAAGCAAACAGG